GUCCCGGUCACUGGGGGACCAUCUAGCAGCUUGUAUGCUACUCAGCAUCAAUGGGCCACCUCUUUCUGAAUUCCCCUAUAACCAAGCCUUGGAGUUAUUUUUCCAAAAGCCAAAUUAAAAAAAAAAAGAAAAAUUAAAUGCGCACAGCAAGGCUGCCAACUUUGCCACUGAGGCAAAGAUGCAAUUUGUUUCAUUAUGAAUGGU